GGCCUCGUAUCUCAGCUGGUAGAGCAUACGCGUACUAAGCGUAGACGAUGUACAUGCGUGGGUUCGAAUCCCACCGAGGCUA
rfam:Echinostoma caproni strain Egypt genome assembly, scaffold: ECPE_scaffold0028910